UACGUAGGGUGCGAGCGUUGCCCGGAUUUAUUGGGCGUAAAGGGCGCGUAGGCGGCUCUGCACGUCCGUUGUGAAAUCGCCCGGCUCAACUGGGCGGGGUCAGCGGAUACGGCGGAGCUUGAGCAAGCUAGGGGGCAAUGGAAUUCCCGGUGUAGCGGUGAAAUGCGUAGAUAUUGGGAGGAACACCAGUGGCGAAGGCGACUACCUGGCCUGUUCUUGACGCUGAGGCGCGAAAGCUAGGGGAGCAAACGGG
rnacentral:rRNA from 1 species